rnacentral:rRNA from 1 species
UACGUAGGGGGCACGCGUUAUCCGGAUUCAUUGGGCGUAAAGCGCGCGUAGGCGGUCUGUAGGUCAGGAGUUAAAUCUGGGGGCUCAACCCCUAUCCGCUCCUGAUACCGGCAGGCUUGAGACUGGUAGGGGAAGAUGGAAUUCCAAGUGUAGCGGUGAAAUGCGCAGAUAUUUGGAAGAACACCGGUGGCGAAGGCGGUCUUCUGGGCCAUGACUGACGCUGAGGCGCGAAAGCUAGGGGAGCGAACAGG